rnacentral:misc_RNA from 1 species
UCCCGGUUACCCGGGCAGUCUCGUGUGUACAAUGUAACACACGACGAGGGUUGCGCUCGUUACCCCACUUAAGGGUACACCUCACGGCACGAGCUGACGGCAACCAUGCAGCACCUGUGUAGCACCCUCGAAGGCGGGCCGAGUUUCUUCGGCCUUGCAGCUACAUGUCAAACCCAGGUGAGGUUCGCCGCGUAUCAUCGAAUUAAACCGCAUGAUCCUCCGCUUGUGCGGGUCCCCGUCUAUUCCUUUGAGUUUUAACCUUGCGAUCGUACUCCCCAGGCGGUCUACUUAACGCGUUAGCUUUUUUGAACGGCACUGACAGGGUCGAUACUGCCAAUACCUAGUAGACAUCGUUUAGGGCGUGGACUAC